UCCAAAAAUAAAUAAACAAGAUGUUAAAAGGACUGUGUCCUAUCCAGAUCCUCCUCCAAAAUAUAAACAUCCAAAUCCCAAGCCAGGUCAACACAAACCAAAUGAAGCUGUUGCAAAUUCUACAAACAAUAAAAAAAAAGAAGAUCAACUUUUGUGUCCAACACACUUGGAUGAGACGUGCCCGACCCCUGUCUUUGUCUUCCCUACGUUAAGUUGU